GAUGAACGCUAGCUACAGGCUUAACACAUGCAAGUCGAGGGGUAAUGAGAGGAAAGCUUGCUUUCCUUGUCGACGACCGGCGCACGGGUGGGUAACGCGUAUCCAACCUGCCCCCAACUAGGGAAUAACCUUGCGAAAGUAAGACUAAUACCCUAUAAUUUCCUCAGAUGUCAUCUGACGAGGAAUAAAGAUUUAUCGGUUGUGGAUGGGGAUGCGUCUGAUUAGCUUGUUGGCGGGGUAACGGCCCACCAAGGCAACGAUCAGUAGGGGUUCUGAGAGGAAGGUCACCCACAUUGGGACUGAGACACGGUCCAAACUCCUACGGGAGGCAGCAGUGAGGAAUAUUGGUCAAUGGGCGGAAGCCUGAACCAGCCAAGUAGCGUGCAGGAUGACGGCCCUAUGGGUUGUAAACUGCUUUUAUACAGGAAUAAAGUUAGCCACGUGUGGUUAUUUGUAGGUACUGUAUGAAUAAGGACCGGCUAAUUCCGUGCCAGCAGCCGCAGUAA
rnacentral:rRNA from 1 species